UACAGAGGUCUCAAGCGUUGUUCGGAUUCAUUGGGCGUAAAGGGUGUGUAGGUGGCGCGCUAAGUCGGGUGUGAAAUUUCGGAGCUUAACUCCGAAACUGCAUUUGAUACUGGCGUGCUUGAGGACUGGAGAGGAGACUGGAAUUCCUGGUGUAGCAGUGAAAUGCGUAGAUAUCAGGAGGAAUACCGAUGGCGAAGGCAGGUCUCUGGGCUGACACUGACGCUCAUGCACGAAAGCGUGGGGAGCAAACAGG
rnacentral:rRNA from 1 species